rnacentral:tRNA from 1 species
AGUUGUAUGGCUGAAUAAAAGCGUUAAAUUGUAAAUUUAAUUAUAGGUUUACCCUUAUAACU